GGAGUGAUGUGCCUCUGGACCUUGUACUUACUAAAAAGGAAGGACUGUCUGGAGAUGUGAAAGCUGGGGGCAGCUUGGGAUGGAGCGAUCAUGAGAUGGCAGAAUUCAAGAUCUUGUGUGAAAGAAGCAAGGCAAUAAAGUAGGAUUGCAACGUUGGACUUCAGGAGAGCCAACUUCAACUUCCUCAAGGACCUAUUUGGAGGUAUCCCAUAGGAAGCCCAUGAGUGUUGGUGGAUAUUCAACUCCCACUUCUUCUAUGCAGGUUCACCAGCUUUUUGGACUUGUGCUCUUACUUCAGUAUCACUGAAUGUUUCUUCCAGUGGAAAUCAA
rnacentral:lncRNA from 1 species